rnacentral:misc_RNA from 1 species
AAGGUCAUUGUCAUCUAAACUGCUUAAUGCGGAGAUGGAAAAAGCCAAAUGAUAUUCAACAACAUUUUCUUCCAAUCUAAUUCACACGUUCGAUCGCACAAUGUGGAAAAAUGACUACCUUGAGUUUCUUCCAAAAAAAAUGUAAAGCAUUUGCCCCAAAUUGAAGCCCUAUCUUGUGAGCUUGAUGUGUUCAAAGUUUUAACUGGAAGCGUCUCUACAAAGAAAUCCAUACUAGAAUUUCAGCUUCUACAUGUUGCAAGAGAAUUGAUUUUCUAUGCAGAAACUGACAAGCUAUGCCUGCCCCUAGCCCGAUGGAUAUUUUUAGUGUAAACAAUAUGACCAUUGAUCUUCAGAAGAGUUAUAUGGAAGCACUUUAGACUCGGAUGAAGUU